AGGAUCUCAGCCUUUAGGAGGAAGGAAUGGAAGAUAUGGGAGACAGUUGGUGGCUUCUCCGCAGCUUCUCUGGUCAUUCAGCCCCUCGGCUCCACUAUGGACACUGUGACCAGAGAGCUCCCUGUUCCAGUAUCAGAGAACGUCCUUUCCUCAUCCACAUGGCCACACCCGAGGCUGUUUGCCAGGGAUCCACUUGCUGAACACCCUCCUUGUUUGACAGACUGAGCAUCUUGGCCAAAGUGCCACCGUGGAGAAGUGAGAGGACCAGGGGAGACAGGAGAGGAUGCAGAAAUCCCCAAUCCCACUCAGUUGCACAUGGGCUCUGUACCUAUGGCACAGACAGGGAGUAGUGACUCAGCUAGGAGACAUAAAAAUAAAAAGUCACAUGAGAACAAAACUAGGCUGGCAUGCUCCUUUGAGUGACAUGGGACAAAGCUGCUGUCCCAGAUGGAGCACAUUGCUCAUGACCAGGCCACCUGCUCCUUUUCUGAACCACUAUUACACAGUGAGUUCAAUGUCCACCCAGGACUGGAGGGACCCCCUCAUCACAAAUGCUCCUGCAAGCACUUGCACCUCUGUUCUCGCUAUCUACCAAUAAAACAUUACUGUCAUGUAGUAACAUGAA